GGUGGGGGUGAUGUGCUGCCAGGGCUUGGUGCGGGUGAAAACCCUGGCAGCUGAGUUUUGCACAUACUGGAGCCUGUCCAGGGCUUUGCUGGGAACCCCGGACAGUACUCCAUUGCAGUAGUCCAAACGGGAGGUGACGAAAGCGUGGAUGAGGUUUUCUGCCACAGAGUCAGAGAGUGAUUGCCGGAGACGGGAGAUGUUUUUUAAGUGGAAGAAAGCGGAUUUGGCAAUGACUCCGGCUCUAUGCCAACAACAUGUCGGUGAAACAAAACAUUAUCCUGAGUUAGGGAGGGAUUUUAUCACCCUUUAGGAAUUUGACUUGGAUGAGCCAGUGUUAUCUUCUCAUCAUAUGUGUAUUUCAGCUUUUUCUCAUCCACACUCAUAGAUGUAUAUGCAUGUAUAGAUGUUCACACAUGCAUACAGAACGUAUACUGUGUUUCCCACCUCCCUGUCUCACAUUCUCAUUUACCCAGCUAUAGGCUAACUAUGUGGCUAAUUAUUAUCGGAAUACUUUUAAGCUGUCAACAUUUUGCAGCAAAAGUCAGCUGAAGCUAAAAUGAUGUUAUUGUUAUGUUGCAGUUUCAUUUGCCAGAGGAUUUGCUUUUGAAUUUGACAAUGAAAACCACAAUAAACAAUGUUAAAGAUUCAUUUUUGAAUCUAUGAUAGUAUUUGAUCUAGAUUUUACAGACAGAGGUUUGAAAGUAGAUUGACGUUCUUGCCGGUACUACUAGACUACCCCAACCUCCAUCACUUGAUAUUGUUCUCCUCCGAAACCCAGCUUCAUGCAUCCCUGAACACACGAAACACUUGACGUCAUGUAAAGCAAAUUAUUUAUUAAAAUGAUGAAAGUGCUGCAGAAUCGUUUGUAAAUGUUGACAAAAAAAUCAAGUUUUGAGUUCCGACUUAAGGGGGCGUUCAUGUAAAUUUUACUAUUAUUCCGACACCACAUGAAUGCAGCACAAAUGCUCACACUGUUAAUGAAAGUGAAACAGCAUUGCUACAUGUGUCGACAAAUCAAGUUGUUAUGUCAUGUUACUCAUGGAGUGCUUGUCUGCAUGAGGAGCGCAGUCAGUCCCCCGCGGAUGUUUUUCCUUGUUUCCUUUUUCAUUCAUGUUUAAUGUUUCCGGUUUUAUUUUGAUACUCACCUUCUCUUUCAUUGCAGACUACUUCACUUCCUGCCUCUGUGUGUUUUCCCACCUGUGUGAUUGUCUGCUCCUCCCUGAUCGUUUACACCUGUUCCUCAUUAGCCCUGCUGUCACCUGUCCCUCCUUAUCUCCUUCCUUGUGUUUCUGCUCCCUUCUCCUUGUGACUCUUCAUCAUUGUUCUUUGUUCCUUACGUUCCAGACCUUGUUCCCAGUAUUUAGUUCGUCCCAGUGUUUAGCGUUCCGGGUGUUUUUUGGAUUUACUGUUUUCUGCCUGCUUCUGGACCCUCAACCUGUCAGACUUCAUGGCUCAUCCCCUUCAAUUUUGCUUCCUCUCCAUCUUUGUACGACACACUGAUAAGUGGAGCUCAUGUGGGAAAGGUAUGCCGAGGCUCUCGGAUGGAGAACGAGAACGGACAACAGUCUGUCUCACAGCAGGCCGGCAUCGUAGAACACAACGAACAGAUGCCCAGGUGACAACACUGCCUGGAGUGAAGGCAAUUACUCCAUCCAAACUGAAGGUUCAUUUCUAUACGCUGCGAAGCAGAUUCUGCAAACCAGUGAUUAGCCAUUUAACAACAUCUGCAGUUUGGUGCUUGACGAACCCUGCGUUCGGUUGCAUUCAUCAAUACACUUCUGUCUCUGUGUACACAAUCGGGCUCCAUUUAGCCAUCAGUCAAAUAGAGCGUCUGUUUAUUGGGAUGCCGCUUCACUGUUUCACACUUCAGGAUGUUUUCUCAGUCUGCACAUUUGUUCCCUCUGUUGUCUUUAUUCUUCAUUAUAUGCCAUUUUGUGAUAACAUUGCAUGCUAGAAGGUGCCGUAUAAAGAAACCCGAGAAUGCUUCUCUGCCGUUUGCAGCUCAUGGCUUUAUCUUCUCAGCAAACUGCAAAGAUCCAUGAAUUUUUUAGAUGAUAAUUAUUCCUCCUCAAUGCCUCCUCUUCUCACACCUAAUAUCAUUAAUGCGUUCUAUAAUGUACGAGUUGAUGGUGUACUGAUUUGUGCAUUAUUUCCAUGAUGGAGGACUGUGAUAAGAAAAACCUGAAGCCAUUGUUAAAGGUAUAAUAUGCAAGAAUUAACUAAAAAAAAACAAUUUAUAGACUGAUACAUAAAUAAUCCUUCUCAAUCAUCACUUAUGCCCCACUAGAAGUGUGUGGCUGUGUCUAUUUCUGCAGAGACCCUGCCCUCUGCCUGUAUUUUCUCUUUUCUUCUUUUUUUACUUUACUCUGGAUGCUUCUGGGCGUCAGCAAAGUGGCUUUGGGACCCACGUGGUGGUGCAACCCCCAGCCAAUAACAGCGCGCAGGGUGUGCAGCCUGUUCAGGUGGUCAAAUAUCGUAGCUUUGUCACGCCCCUCGACUUCUGAUACCGACUCACAAGUCCCCCUUUACUCUUGUUAGAUACAAAGCGGCCGUAUUUCACGGAUGAGAACGGGUUGUGUUAUGUGCAUGUGUUCCAGUGAUCCCCCUGCUCCUCUUUGUGCUGUGAGUGCAGCUAUGAUCGGUGUGUGUCUGUAGUUUGACGAGACAGGAAGCCUGAAUUCAUUAAAAAUCUGGCAACUCGGUACCUUCUUGCAGUGUUGUGCGGACCUAGUUUUGUGUUUUAGAACGUAACAAUCAGAAAAUAACGUUUUAUUUCUCAGAUUUGCUGCUUUGUUCUCCCUAACGCCGCUCUCUCUCUUCAGUCACUCUGUAGCUCGCUCGACCAUCGCUGCUCUCUCUCUCCCUCUCGGCUCAUUUAGCUGUGGAGGUGUGGCCACCUUUUGUGUUUACAAGCAGGAACCGACAGCGGUUACAUAUUAUACCUUUAAACACUCUUGCUCGCAGCAGCAGCAGCAGUGUUAUCAUAAGAAAGCUCAGAUGGAGGGUGCAGGACAGAUGGCUUUUUUACUACAGACUUUGGUUCAUUUGGAUGUUGUCAGCCAUGAUGCCUCCUCAGCAUUGAAUUGCUCCUCGAGGUGUGACUGAGAGCCUUUUAAUGGCUUGAUCUGAUUUGGUCUGAUUUGCUAAUGGAUCAAAGUGAGACUGAUGUUUGCAGGCAAACAAGAAGAUCUUUGAUUCAACAUGUGUUGUUAUUGACCUAAGUUACCUGAGUGGCAUGUUGUUGUUGUGUUGCUUUCUGUGUGCUUGAAUAUAGCAGCAUAUUUUUUUGUUCUAAGUUGGAAGGAUAAUAAUGUGAAUAAUGCAUUAAGUUUGAACUAAAACAAAUCUAUUUGAAUCAAACUGGGUUGUGCCAUGCUGCUAAAGGUGCCCUGUGCUACUCACCAAAACACAUUGUGUGUAUCCUUGAUGUCUGACAAACGCGCAUUUUGUCCUCAUAAAACAUUUGCAAAGUCAUUUUUUUUAUCCGAUGCCAAGGGGCACAUACCAAACGGUGUAUUUGACAAGUUGGGAGUGGAUUCUGUU